rnacentral:rRNA from 1 species
AUUGAACGCUGGCGGCAGGCCUAACACAUGCAAGUCGAACGAGCGGCGGACGGGUGAGUAAUGUCUGGGGAUCUGCCUGAUGGCGGGGGAUAACUACUGGAAACGGUAGCUAAUACCGCAUACCAUCAGAUGAACCCAUAUGGGAUUAGCUUGUAGGUGAGGUAACGGCUCACCUAGGCGACGAUCCCUAGCUGGUCUGAGAGGAUGACCAGCCACACGGGGACUGAGACACGGCCCAGACUCCUCCGGGAGGCAGCAGUGGGGAAUAUUGCACAAUGGGGGCGAGCCUGAUGCAGCCAUGCCGGGUGUAUGAAGAAGGCCUUCGGGUUGUAAAGUACUUUCAGCGGGGAGGCGUUACCGGCAGAAGAAGCACCGGCUAACUCCGUGCCAGCCGCCGCGGUAAUUC